rnacentral:rRNA from 1 species
AUGGCGGCGGCGGCGGCGGCGACGACAACCAACGGCGAGGAGGCGGCGGCGAAGGCCACCAGAGACAAAGAGGUAGCCGCCGAGGAGGCUUACCAGCGCGCGGAGUUGCUCUACCACGCCGGCAACUUCACGGGGGCGUGCCGCCACGCCCAGAGGGCCCAGCAGCUCUUCCCCGCGCUCCCAGGCGUCGCGAACGCGCUCGCCGCCUACUCCAUCCACGCCGCCGCGGCCGCUGGCCGCCCCGGCCGCCCCAACUGGAAGGACGUCCUCGCCUUGGAGAAGCAAGCCACCCCCACACGCGACACGAUCAGGAGGCAAUUCCUGCGGCUGUCUCUCCUCGUCCACCCUGACAAGAACCGCUCUGCCGCCGCCGAGGGCGCCUUCAAGAUCCUCCGCCAGGCGUGCGACACUGCCCUGAUGUUUGCCGGCGACCGGAAGGACGCCUCCGCUGCCUCGCCGCAGUCGUCCAGGCCGCGCAGCUCUGCCGCCGGCGACACCAAUGCCGACACAAACAGAAACAGGCCGCCUUCCGGCGCCGAACACAGGCCGCGCCAGUCUACCGCUGGCGACACCAAUGCUGACACAAACAGAAACAGUCCGCCUGCCGGCGCCCAACACAGGCCGCGCAGGUCUACCGCCGGCGACACCAAUGCCGACACAAACAGAAACAGUCCGCCUGCCGGCACCCAACACAGGCCGCAGAGGUCAGCCGCCGGCGACACCAACGCCGACACAAACAGAAACAGGCCCCGCAGGUCUGCUGCCGGCGACACCAAUGCCGACACAGGCAGAAACAGGCCGCCUACCGGCGCUAAAGGAGACGGACCGCGCGGGUACAAGUGGAUCUACUGCUGGCACUGCAAGCGGGAAUUCGGGCGGCAGAUAGGCCCCGUCGAGGAGCUGGUGGGCACGGCGUGCCCACGGUGCAACAUGCGGCUGAGGCCGCCGUGGGAUAGGAAGACACUGCUGGAUUUCACCGUCCUGGAAGCGUUCGCGCGCUGA